rnacentral:snoRNA from 1 species
CACCUGGUGCUUAUCCUACACUGUGUUCUUACACUGACUAUUUAGAAAGAAAAGGUAAAGUAAACCUACCCUAUGUACACCUCAGCUCAGGCCCUGUGCCAGGUCUGUAUUGUGAGUGGGAAGACAUGG